UCGUAGGGUGCAAGCGUUGUCCGGAAUUAUUGGGCGUAAAGAGCUCGUAGGCGGUCUGUCACGUUCGGAUGUGAAAACUCGGGGCUCAACCCCGAGCCUGCAUACGAUACGGGCAGACUUGAGUUCGGCAGGGGGAGACUGGAAUUCCUGGUGUAGCGGUGGAAUGCGCAGAUAUCAGGAGGAACACCGAUGGCGAAGGCAGGUCACUGGGCCGCAACUGACGCUGAGGAGCGAAAGCAUGGGGAGCGAACAGG
rnacentral:rRNA from 1 species